ACAAAAGUGCGUCUACACGUCCAGCCACCCGUCCUGCGGACGUGGAGAGCCACUUCGGGGAGGCGCCUUUUGUUGUACUUGUGUGGCUGUGUAACUGUUUUUCUUUUCCAAGAGCAGAGUUAGCUGUGGCUUAAAGAAGGACCAAGAAUGAAUGUCCCCCAUAAGAGCGAACCAAAAAGACCUUCCCCCACUCGAGCCCCCGCGCCUGCGAUGAGAAAUCUGUCUUCCCAAAGGGCUAUUGCGGCAGCCGCGAGGCAGCCCCGACCUGCUCACGCAGGCCCAUCUGCUUUCCCUACGCCUGCUUUUCUUUGAUGACUUAAAAGAAACAAAUAAACAAAC
rnacentral:lncRNA from 1 species